UACAGAGGUCCCAAGCGUUGUUCGGAUUCACUGGGCGUAAAGGGUGCGUAGGUGGUCGGGUAAGUUUGAUGUGAAAUCUCCGGGCUUAACCCGGAAACUGCAUUGAAUACUAUCUGGCUAGAGGGUUGGAGGGGGGACUGGAAUACUUGGUGUAGCAGUGAAAUGCGUAGAUAUCAAGUGGAACACCAGUGGCGAAGGCGAGUCCCUGGACAACUCCUGACACUGAGGCACGAAAGCUAGGGGAGCAAACAGG
rnacentral:rRNA from 1 species